GACGAACGCUGGCGGCGUGCUUAACACAUGCAAGUCGAACGGAAAGGCCCUGCUUGCAGGGUGCUCGAGUGGCGAACGGGUGAGUAACACGUGGGUGAUCUGCCCCUUACUUUGGGAUAAGCCUGGGAAACUGGGUCUAAUACUGGAUAGGACCAUGCUGUAGGUGGUGUGGUGGAAAGAUUAGUUUCGGUAAGGGAUGAGCUCGCGGCCUAUCAGCUUGUUGGUGGGGUAAUGGCCUACCAAGGCGUCGACGGGUAGCCGGCCUGAGAGGGUGGACGGCCACAUUGGGGCUGAGAAACGGCCCAGACUCCUACGGGAGGCAGCAGUGGGGAAUAUUGCACAAUGGGCGCAAGCCUGAUGCAGCGACGCCGCGUGGGGGAUGACGGCCUUCGGGUUGUAAACUCCUUUCAGCCAUGACGAAGCCCUUGUGGUGACGGUAGUGGUAGAAGAAGCACCGGCUAACUACGUG
rnacentral:rRNA from 1 species